CUUUUGUUCUCUAAUAACCACCUAUAUUUUCACUUAGUAUCCUCAUACUAUAAAUUCAAGACUCAUUUACUUUAAAAAAAAAUGAUCUAUGCAUCGAUCUAUAUUCAGAUCAAUUAUCAUUCCCAUGAUGAUCCAUCAAUCGAGAGCAAUUUAAAAAUUAAUCAUCAAAGAUGCAUAUCUCAAAUUCUCAGAUCUUGAGAAUAUAUGUCAACAUCUGAUUAAUUUUUUG
rnacentral:lncRNA from 1 species